rnacentral:rRNA from 1 species
GAGUUMGAUCCWGGCUCAGARCGAACGCUGGCGGCAGGCCUAAUACAYGCAAGUCGCACGGGAAGCCCCCUUCGGGGGGWGGAGAGWGGCGCACGGGUGAGUAACGCGUGGGAACCUAUCCCGGGGUGGGGGAUAACCACUGGAAACGGUGGCUAAUACCGCACGAUCCCUGAGGGGCAAAGCAGCGAUGCGCCCUGGGAGGGGCCCGCGUCCGWUUAGCUAGUUGGCAGGGUAACGGCCUACCAAGGCGAUGAUGGGUAGCUGGUCUGAGAGGACGAUCAGCCACACUGGAACUGAGACACGGUCCAGWCUCCUACGGGAGGCAGCAGUGGGGAAUAUUGCGCAAUGGGCGAAAGCCUGACGCAGCGACGCCGCGUGGGGGAUGAAGGUUUUCGGAUUYGUAAACCCCUUUCGAUCGGAAAGAAUAUCCUCCGGGUAAAUAAUCCGGAGGAUUGACGGUACCGAGAGAAGAAGCCACGGCUAACUCUGUGCCAGCCGCCGCGGUAAUACA